UAAAUCAUAUAUAAAUAGCAUAAAACUUUCCAACAUAUCCUCUCUUAAUGGAAGUAAUAAAAAUAAAAUGCAAUUCUGUAUAAAUCAACAAGAUGAAUAAAAUAGUUGUUCAAAUGGAGAUUAAAUAAAAGGGGCCAAUCAGGAAAGGAA